GACGAACGCUGGCGGCGUGCUUAACACAUGCAAGUCGAACGAUGAAGCCCUUUCGGGGGUGGAUUAGUGGCGAACGGGUGAGUAACACGUGGGUAACCUGCCCUGUACCCUGGGAUAAGCCUUGGAAACGAGGUCUAAUACCGGAUAUGACCUGCUCUCGCAUGGGGGUGGGUGGAAAGUUUUGGCGGUGCAGGAUGGACCCGCGGCCUAUCAGCUUGUUGGUGGGGUGAUGGCCUACCAAGGCGACGACGGGUAGCCGGCCUGAGAGGGCGACCGGCCACACUGGGACUGAGACACGGCCCAGACUCCUACGGGAGGCAGCAGUGGGGAAUAUUGCACAAUGGGCAAAGCCUGAUGCAGCGACGCCGCGUGAGGGAUGACGGCC
rnacentral:rRNA from 1 species